UACGGGGGGGGCAAGCGUUGUUCGGAAUUACUGGGCGUAAAGGGCGCGUAGGCGGCCUGGCAAGUGGAAGGUGAAAUCCCUCGGCUUAACCGAGGAACUGCCCUCCAAACUGCUUGGCUUGAGUCCGGGAGAGGUGAGUGGAAUUCCCAGUGUAGCGGUGAAAUGCGUAGAUAUUGGGAGGAACACCGGUGGCGAAGGCGGGUCUCUGGGCCGAUACUGACGCUGAGGAGCGAAAGCGUGGGGAGCGAACAGG
rnacentral:rRNA from 1 species